GUGGGUAUAGCUCAGUUGGUUAGAGCGCCGGAUUGUGAUUCCGGAGGUCGCGGGUUCGACCCCCGUCGCCCACCCCA
rnacentral:tRNA from 1 species